rnacentral:rRNA from 1 species
CGGCGAGUGAAGCGGCAAAAGCUCAGAUUUGAAAUCUGGCGUCAUAUUGGCGUCCGAGUUGUAAUCUGUAGAGGAGUAUUCGAGUGUGGAUUUGGCUUAAGUUCCUUGGAACAGGACGUCAUAGAGGGUGAGAACCCCGUUAACGGCCUAUGUCUUAUGCUCAUGUGAAUCUCCUUCAACGAGUCGAGUUGUUUGGGAAUGCAGCUCUAAAUGGGUGGUAAAUUCCAUCUAAAGCUAAAUACUGGCAAGAGACCGAUAGCGCACAAGUAGAGUGAUCGAAAGAUGAAAAGAACUCUGAACAGAGAGUUAAAUAGUACGUGAAAUUGUUGAAAGGGAAGCACUUGCUACCAGACACGCCUGUAGUUGAUCAACCUUCAUUUUUGAUGGUGCACUCGGCUAUAGGUGGGUCAGCAUCAGUUACAACGGUGGGAUAAAGGCCUUGGGAAUGUAGCUUCCUUCGGGAAGUGUUAUAGCCCUUGGUGUAAUACCAUCUGAUGUGACUGAGGCCCGCGCUUCGGCGAGGAUGCUGGCAUAAUGGUCGUAAGUGACCCGUCUUGAAACACGGACCAAGGAGUCUAACAUCUAUGCGAGUGUUUGGGCGUCAAAACCCUUACGCGGAAUGAAAGUGAAUGAAGGUGGGAACCGCAAGGUGCACCAUCGACCGAUCCUGAUGUUUUCGGAUGGAUUUGAGUAGGAGCAUAGCUGUUGGGACCCGAAAGAUGGUGAACUAUGCCUGAAUAGGG